CAAAUCAGGUAGGAGUACCCGCUGAACUUAAGCAUAUCAAUAAGCGGAGGAAAAGAAACCAACCGGGAUUGCCUUAGUAACGGCGAGUGAAGCGGCAAAAGCUCAAAUUUGAAAUCUGGUACCUUUGGUGCCCGAGUUGUAAUUUGGAGAGGGCAACUUUGGGACCGUUCCUUGUCUAUGUUCCUUGGAACAGGACGUCAUAGAGGGUGAGAAUCCCGUGUGGCGAGGAGUGCGGUUCUAUGUAAAGUGCCUUCGAAGAGUCGAGUUGUUUGGGAAUGCAGCUCUAAGUGGGUGGUAAAUUCCAUCUAAAGCUAAAUAUUGGCGAGAGACCGAUAGCGAACAAGUACAGUGAUGGAAAGAUGAAAAGAACUUUGAAAAGAGAGUGAAAAAGUACGUGAAAUUGUUGAAAGGGAAGGGCAUUUGAUCAGACAUGGUGUUUUGCGCCCUCUGCUCCUUGUGGGUGGGGGAAUCUCGCAGUUCACUGGGCCAGCAUCAGUUUUGGUGGCAGGAUAAAUCCGUAGGAAUGUAACUUGCUUCGGGAAGUAUUAUAGCCUAUGGGAAUACUGCCAGCUGGGACUGAGGACUGCGACGUAAGUCAAGGAUGCUGGCAUAAUG
rnacentral:rRNA from 1 species